rnacentral:rRNA from 1 species
GAUGAACGCUGGCGGCGUGCCUAAUACAUGCAAGUCGAGCGAACAGACGAGGAGCUUGCUCCUCUGACGUUAGCGGCGGACGGGUGAGUAACACGUGGAUAACCUACCUAUAAGACUGGGAUAACUUCGGGAAACCGGAGCUAAUACCGGAUAAUAUAUUGAACCGCAUGGUUCAAUAGUGAAAGACGGUUUUGCUGUCACUUAUAGAUGGAUCCGCGCCGCAUUAGCUAGUUGGUAAGGUAACGGCUUACCAAGGCAACGAUGCGUAGCCGACCUGAGAGGGUGAUCGGCCACCCUGGAACUGAGACACGGUCCAGACUCCUACGGGAGGCAGCAGUAGGGAAUGUUCCGCAAUGGGCGAAAGCCUGACGGAGCAACGCCGCGUGAGUGAUGAAGGUCUUCGGAUCGUAAAACUCUGUUAUUAGGGAAGAACAAAUGUGUAAGUAACUAUGCACGUCUUGACGGUACCUAAUCAGAAAGCCACGGCUAACUACGUG